ensembl:lncRNA
GCAGUUUGGUUGAUACAGGUAGUGGUCUGUCCUGCUUCUCUUGCACAUCCUGUUCUCUGAACUGAAGACGAAUGAAGCAAAAACUGUUAUAAAAAGUUUUGUUUUUUUUUUUUUUUUUUUUUUUUUUGUGGUAGGAAGUACACUGCUAGCUGAAGAGAGGCACAACAAACUGCACAUCAGAAUUCCAGAUUAAGCAGUGGUGUGCAUCACAUCAUCAUCCUUUUCAUACCUGCCCUGGAGCCCAGGAAGAAGCCCAUCUC